UGCAUGAGUGGUGUUUGGUUUGAUACGGGUGGUCGGCUCCCUGCUUGAGCAGGCACGGCCAUGCGUGCAUUCCUUUUCAGCUGUGCGGCAAGGCUUGUAUCGUCUUGAUCGUAUAAGUGGGUUUCCUGUGUUGCAUACCUGAUCAAUGGCAUCGUCUUGAUCAAAAGUGUGUAUAUUUCGUCUGUCAAUGCACCUGCAUUGUCGGAUGAACCGUGUAGCAUCCUCUUUGAUCCAUACAGUUGACGUGCUUUCGUUGAUUGUUUGGCCCAUUGAGUUGGNGACUCGGUCUCUCGGAUAUGGAACCCAAAGUGGGCAUGGGUCGCAAGAUCUCUUUAUUGUCCUCAUUGAGCGUUCUCACUUCUCUUACACGACCGCCUUUCACGUAUGGCACGUCCCAGCGUGUUAGGCUACGUCGAAGAGGAAUUUGAGCGUUCUUGCUUUUCUUACACGACUGCCUUUCACGUAUGGCACGUCCCA
rnacentral:misc_RNA from 1 species